UAUCCUAACCGUGCAAAGGUAGCGCAAUCAAUUGUCCCAUAAAUCGAGACUAGUAUGAAUGGCUAAACGAGGUCUUAACUGUCUCUUACAGGCAAUCGGUGAAAUUGAUCUCCCUGUACAAAAGCAGGGAUACACCCAUAAGACGAGAAGACCCUGUGGAACUUUAAAACCAGCAGCCACCUUAAAACACAUAUCCACCCACCGGGUUCACUGACACACAAGACACUGGCCUGCGUUUUUCGGUUGGGGCGACCUUGGAGCAAAACAAAACCUCCAAAGACUAGACCACACCUCUAGACCAAGAGCAACCUCUCAACGUGCUAAUAGUACCCAGACCCAAUAUAAUUGAUCAAUGGACCAAGCUACCCCAGGGAUAACAGCGCAAUCUCCUCCGAGAGUCCGUAUCGACGGGGAGGUUUACGACCUCGAUGUUGGAUCAGGACAUCCUAGUGGUGCAGCCGCUACUAA
rnacentral:rRNA from 1 species